UACGUAGGGGGCAAGCGUUGUCCGGAAUCAUUGGGCGUAAAGCGCGCGUAGGCGGCCCGGUAAGUCCGUUGUGAAAGUCAAAGGCUCAACCUUUGAACGCCGAUGGAUACUGCCGGGCUAGAGUCCGGAAGAGGCGAGUGGAAUUCCUGGUGUAGCGGUGGAAUGCGCAGAUAUCGAGAGGAACACCUGCGGCGAAGGCGGGUUGCUGGGCUGAUACUGACGCUGAGGCGCGAAAGCCAGGGGAGCGAACGGG
rnacentral:rRNA from 1 species